AGCCCCAUCAGGGUCGUUAGAAUCACCGACAAGGUCAUCAGGGUCUGGGAGUACAAUCAUAGCUAGGAGGUGGACCAAUGUAGCAUUUUUUGCCCCCUGAUCUUCACCAUGCAUCAGGCUGAUUGUCUCCUUGGCAUGUGCCUCCCCUUCUCCGAUGACCUCGGCCACUUCCUCCUCCCCUCUGUCUAACUCUAGAGGCCUGAGAUCGAGGUCAGAAAAUUGAUCACGAACUUUUGCCUUGAAGUCCGCCAAUCCUUGUACAUAAGACUCAGAGGCAAACUCCAGUUUGAUCAUCCGAAAUUCCUCUGAGGAGUGGAAUGCCUCGAUCGUGGCAACCUUCUCGACUUCCAACUUCUCA
rnacentral:lncRNA from 1 species